AGCGAACGCUAGCGGCGGGCCUAACACAUGCAAGUCGAGCGCAUACCUUCGGGUAUGAGCGGCGGACGGGUGAGUAACGCGUAGGUCAUCUACCCUUUGGUGGGGGAUAACCCAGGGAAACUUGGGCUAAUACCGCACGAGGUCCACGGAUCAAAGCCUUCGGGCGCCAGAGGAUGAGCCUGCGUCGCAUUACCUAGUUGGCGGGGUAACGGCCCACCAAGGGGACGAUGCGUAGCUGGUCUGAGAGGAUGAUCAGCCACACUGGGACUGAGACACGGCCCAGACUCCUACGGGAGGCAGCAGUGGGGAAUAUUGCGCAAUGGGGGAAACCCUGACGCAGCCACGCCGCGUGGGUGAUGAAGGCCUUCGGGUUGUAAAGCCCUGUCGGGAGGGACGAAUUCUUGACGGUACCUCCAAAGAAAGCACCGGCUAACUCCGUGCCAGCAG
rnacentral:rRNA from 1 species